rnacentral:rRNA from 1 species
UGCAUAUCAAUAAGCGGAGGAAAAGAAACCAACAGGGAUUGCCCUAGUAACGGCGAAGUGAAGCGGCAACAGCUCAAAUUUGAAAUCUGGCCCCCUUUGGGGGUCCGAGUUUGUAAUUUGCAGAGGGUGCUUUGGCUAUGGCGGCGGUCUAAGUUCCUUGGAACAGGACAUCGCAGAGGGUGAGAAUCCCGUACGUGGGCGCUCGCCGUAGCCGUGUAAAGCCCCUUCGACGAGUCGAGUUGUUUGGGAAUGCAGCUCUAAAUGGGAGGUAAAUUUCUUCUAAAGCUAAAUACCGGCCAGAGACCGAUAGCGCACAAGUAGAGUGAUCGAAAGAUGAAAAGUACUUUGGAAAGAGAGUAAAAUAGCACGUGAAAUUGUUGUAGAGGAAGCGCUUGCAGCCAGACUUCCCCGUAGUUGCUCACCCGGGCUCUUGCCCGGGGCACUCUUCUGCGGGGAGGCCAGCAUCAGUUUGGGCGGUCGGAUAAAGGCCCCUGUCACGUACCUCCCUUCGGGGAGGCCUUACAGGGGGGGCGUAAUGCGACCAGCCCGGACUGAGGUCCGCGCAUCUGCUAGGAUGCUGGCGUAAUGGCUGUAAGCGGCCCGUCUUGAAACACGGACCAAGGAGUCUAACAUCUAUGCGAGUGUUUGGGUGUCAAGCCCGGGCGCGCAAUGAAAGUGAACGGAGGUGGGAACCCUCACGGGUGCACCAUCGACCGAUCCUGAUGUCUUCGGAUGGAUUUGAGUAAGAGCAUAGCUGUUGGGACCCGAAAGAUGGUGAACUAUGCUUGAAUAGGGUGAAGCCAGAGGAAACUCUGGUGGAGGCUCGCAGCGGGUUCUGACGUGCAAAUCGAUCGUCAAAUUUGGGCAUAGGGGCGAAAGACUAAUCGAACUAUCUAGUAGCUGGGUCUGCA